rnacentral:rRNA from 1 species
GGUUCUGGCAUCGAUGAAGAACGCAGCGAAAUGCGAUAAGUAAUGUGAAUUGCAGAAUUCAGUGAAUCAUCGAAUCUUUGAACGCACAUUGCGCCCUUUGGUAUUCCGAAGGGCAUGCCUGUUCGAGCGUCAUUUCACCACUCAAGCCUGGCUUGGUA